GAAAUGCGAUACGUAAUGUGAAUUGCAGAACUCAGUGAAUCAUCGAAUUUUUGAACGCACCUUGCGCUCUUUAGUUAUUCUGAAGAGCAUGCUUGUUUGAGUGUCGCGAACCUCUCAACCCCGCUAAAGGCUUAACUGACUUUGGUUGCUUGGGCUUGGAUCAUGGUCUCUUGUCGUUACCCUUCUGGGUUUGGACUGGACUGAAAUAUAACAAGUUGAAUGAAUUGCAUUGCAGUUUGACCUGAUGUUGUAAACUACUCAUCGGGGAUGCGAAGCAGUUUAAAGGAACUUUAACAGAAACCCCUUAUCUGUACUUAGUACAAUUUAUGACCUCAAAUCAAGUAGGACUACCCGCUGAACUUAA
rnacentral:misc_RNA from 1 species